rnacentral:lncRNA from 1 species
GGAAAUAGAGCUAAAACCUAAUAAAAGGAACCGUGAAUGGAUAGUAUGGAUUCAUGUAUAUUAUCCAGAAAGUUGCAUGACCUUUUGUGGUACUCAGGUCACUAAAAAACGUGAGAUAAACAUCUAGGAUAAGAAAAGCAAAAAAGCAUAACCUAAUACGUAUUAUAUGAAUUGAAGGUGUCACUGAACACUACUAACCUGCUUUGCCACUCUCCUUAUGAUUUCAUCAUUUGAUAAGGGCAUAUAAGGAUCUCCAGGCGUCAAAACGCAUCUGAAAGAUAAUAUGGUUAUAGGAAGCAAGAUGGAAUACAAAGACACUUGGCAAAAGGAAGUCAAUCAGAUUCCAUGCACAAAAAAUAACUAAUAAUGACGAGGAUAAGAAAUGUUUCUUACUGGAGAAAUGAACCUUGCCCUUCUCUGUAGUAGUAUUCUGGUGAAGUGAGUGCUAGAUCUGCAAAGCAAGGGAAAUCUGCAUCUGGAGUAUAUAAAAGGUUAUCUAGCCCCACAGCUUGCUUCUAUUGCCUACAUGUUCAAUACAAGGAUCCGUUAAAAAAUGGAAAUUUCUUCAAUGCAUUAGUAAAGGGGAGUGAAGUGAAAGCUGAUUUCUUAGGCCUUCACAGAGCAUCUUGUGUUUGACAGCAAGCACUAAAGAAUAAACUCAAAGUCAGUGCUUCUAACAGAUGAUAUAAACAACAAAUUUACAAAUAUCAGGUCAUUGCAUUAGCUCCAUGCCUCCAUCAGAGCGAACAUUAAUAGAUGCGUAAAAAAAAAAUAAGAGCCAUAUGUGAAACAAUUUACCUUAGACAUGGCAAGUCCUUUGACAAAUGUUUCCCCGUUAGCAAAUUUAUCAUAAUGCAUCUCUCUGCAUCCCCACCUAAGAUGGAACCUGUUCUCACAAGAACAGACUCCAAGGUUGGGAAAAUCAAUUGAUCAUCGGAGAAAACAAACAGGAUUAACAAAUCACUACAAUGGUGUGAACCCGUAAAUACAAAUGUACCUGCCCCCUUUAUUUGCGAUAUAUUUUCUUAUUGGCCCAAUCAAAUAAACAUCCGGAGAACCCUUGAGCAUCUGUAAUAGGGAAGCCUCGGUCUUAGUCGCAAACAGUGCAAAUAUAGUAUGCAUACAACGAGCAAUGAUGUUAUCACAAUCAAUAAACCCAAGGGCAAACGCAACAGAAUCUUACAUUCUUUGGAUACUCAUCCAUGUACCACCCUUGGACAAAAACCAAUCAGAGAAGCUUAUCUGUAAGAAGAAAUGAAGUUUUAGGUAAAAUAAAAAUUUGUAGGAACAGGGAUUGAAAUUCAACAAACAAGAGCAAUAGCAUUUCUUGAUUUAUCAUAAGUCUGCACUUGAGCAAUAUACGAGGCAAAGUACAUCAAAAGAGAAUCCAAAAGAGGCAAGAAGCUUCAACAUGAAAAAAGGAGUACUGCCUCGUCAUACUGCUUUGCAAUCACAGUGCAAAAGAUAACAUCAACAAAAUCAAAAUCGAGCAUAAAUCCGUAUGCACUACCUUAAGCUGAUUUGUAGACAAAAAUGCAUGAAUCCCAUGUAAUGGAGCUCUAAUCGGAAACCGGAAAUCAAGUUCUGGAGUUGAAAAUCAAAAUCAUGAAUCAAAUCAGAGUUGUUAUUGAAUUAGACAAUCCAUAAACCAAUAGAAGGUGAUGUCAAACCAUCAAGCAUAACUAUUAGUUGUUUUAAGUGAUCAAGAAAUAACUAUACCACCAAUUUCACCACCCUUAUUUACAAAUUUAUGAGUAUGAUCCUUCAUGAGUAAAUUUUCGUCCGCACCGACCUGUCGACAUCCAUGAAAAACUAUCAGAUCAUAAACACAGGUUCCAGUUAAAGAGGAUCUAUGAUUCUGAUCCAUCAUGUUAUUUGAACAACAUAUUCGGAUUUUCUUACAACCCUAAGCUUUUAUCAGUUAUCAUCGCUACAAAUGAUAUGGUCAAGAGGAAUGAUAGUUCUUGUUUCAAGAAUCUCAAAUCGUAAUUCUUUUGCAUGGCUUCUGUGCUUUUAUAAUCAUUCAAACACGCAUAUCCACAACUAAGCAAGCUUUACCUUUUUUGUCAAUCGGAACAGAUUAUUGUAGCAUCCAAAGAAAACGUGCAGGCUGAUUUCAAUAUGGUUUCCACGUUUACAGACAAAUGAAGCCACUUUACCACCAAUAAAAGACCUCAACUCAUAUAUAUCCACCUGGAAGAAAGGAAAAGUUUAAAAAAAAGGAAUAAAAAUUCUUCUAAUUUCUUUCACCAUCAACAAAAUCAGAAAAACACAUACUAAUUCAAAAUGAAAUAAAGUUUGUGAAUUGAAAUAAUGCCAACUCCUAAGAAAAAUUAUGACUGCUGAUAUUUUUUCCGAAAUGCUGAUAAAAGCUUCUGCUAUUUACUUUGAAAAAAUUGAGGUUAGAAGCCUAUUUACUUGAAAUUUUGAGUUUAGGCAAGAGGAUGAAUGGUAAAAGUGAAACAUUUUAGGGAAAAAUGUACGUCAGAGGCCAAUGAAAGCAUUCAGAAGAUUGAAAUCUAAAUGAGCAAAACCCCGUGGCCUUGAUCCAACAAAUCCACUGCUGUUGACAUGCCUGCAAGCCCAGCUCCAAUAAUAGCCACUCUCAGCUUUGGUCCUCUAUAAUGUUCCGGUUCUGGUAGAAACAAACCCUUGGGAGCUGCCAAGUAUACCACAUCUUAAAAGUGUAAAGUAUUAUUCUGAUUAAUUUAAAAUAAUUAUUAUUGGAUUCAAAUCAUGUCCUAGGCAUUUUUUCUUCUAGUUGGAGCUUCCAUUUGUUCUAGAGAUUCAAAGGCAGCAAGCUGCUUCCCCAGUGCUACUAAUUCUUCCCCGGCAUUGCAUGUGUAGCCUGAGGCUUGUCUACCAGACAAAGUUGCUCCUUCCAUACUAUCUAUGUAAUCCUGUGAGAGUGAAACCAUUUAGAAGACAUAUCUCUUUUUUUCCAAUAUUUGGAAUGAAACAAUUAUAUACAGUUACCUGUUUUGUAUAUGAGCUGGCGAGGAAGAAGUUCUUCACUGGUAUCUUUUGAUCAGGUCUGAAGGGGUCUUUACCAGGUCCCUCACCUCACAAAGAUUGCCGGAUUUUGACGACAGAUAACCAAAUAACUUCUAAACCUUGGGAUGAUGGAAAUAGAGCUAAAACCUAAUAAAAGGAACCGUGAAUGGAUAGUAUGGAUUCAUGUAUAUUAUCCAGAAAGUUGCAUGACCUUUUGUGGUACUCAGGUCACUAAAAAACGUGAGAUAAACAUCUAGGAUAAGAAAAGCAAAAAAGCAUAACCUAAUACGUAUUAUAUGAAUUGAAGGUGUCACUGAACACUACUAACCUGCUUUGCCACUCUCCUUAUGAUUUCAUCAUUUGGUAAGGGCAUA